rnacentral:rRNA from 1 species
CCUACGGGAGGCAGCAGUGAGGAAUAUUGGUCAAUGGCCGGAAGGCUGAACCAGCCAAGCCGCGUGAAGGACGAAGGUGCCAAGCAUUGUAAACUUCUUUUGUCAAGGGACAAAAUCAGGCUAGAGAGCCUGACCGAGGGUACUUGAAGAAAAAGCAUCGGAUAACUCCGUGCCAGCAGCCGCGGUAAUACGGUGGAUGCGAGCGUUAUCCGGAUUUAUUGGGUUAAAAGGGUACGUAGGUGGACGGUUACGUCAGCGGUAAAAGCCCGGGGCUCAACCCCGGCGAGCGGUUGAAACUGGCUGUCUUGAGAUGUGGAGAGGUAUGCAGAAUGCGCGGUGUAGCGGUGAAAUGCUUAGAUAUUGCGAAGAACUCCGAUUGCGAAGGCAGCAUACCGGCGGCGAUCUGACGCUGAGGCACGAAAGCGUGGGUAUCGAACAGGAUUAGAUACCCUGGUAGUC